rnacentral:rRNA from 1 species
UCGGGAAUAUUGCGCAAUGGAGGAAACUCUGACGCAGUGACGCCGCGUAUAGGAAGAAGGUUUUCGGAUUGUAAACUAUUUUAGUCAGGGAAGAGAAAAGACGGUACCUGAAGAAUAAGCUCCGGCUAACUACGUGCCAGCAGCCGCGGUAAUACGUAGGGAGCAAGCGUUAUCCGGAAUCAUUGGGUGUAAAGGGUGCGUAGACGGGAAUACAAGUUAGUUGUGAAAGCCCUCGGCUUAACUGAGGAACUGCAACUAAAACUAUAUUUCUUGAGUGCAGGAGAGGAAAGCGGAAUUCCUAGUGUAGCGGUGAAAUGCGUAGAUAUUAGGAGGAACACCAGUGGCGAAGGCGGCUUUCUGGACUGUAACUGACGUUGAGGCACGAAAGUGUGGGGAGCAAACAGG